rnacentral:tRNA from 1 species
UAUAACAUAAGUAUAAUAGUACAUUUACCUUCCAAGUAAAAAGUUUACCCUAAAUAAAUGUUAUA